UACGGAGGGUGCGAGCGUUGUCCGGAAUCACUGGGCGUAAAGGGCGCGUAGGCGGCAUGCCAAGCGUGUGGUGAAAGCCCGGGGCUCAACCCCGGGUCGGCCGUGCGGACUGGCGUGCUCGAGCACUGUAGGGGCGGGUGGAAUUCCGGGUGUAGCGGUGGAAUGCGUAGAGAUCCGGAAGAACACCGGUGGCGAAGGCGGCCAUCUGGGACAACACUGACGCUGAGGCACGAAAGCGUGGGGAGCAAACAGG
rnacentral:rRNA from 1 species